UACGUGGGAGGCUAGCGUUAUUCAUCAUAAAUAGGUUUAAAGGGUGCGUAGGCGGUUCCAUAAGUCAGUGGUGAAAUACGGCAGCUCAACUGUCGAGGUGCCAUUGAUACUGCGGAACUUGAGUACUGAUGAGGUAGGCGGAAUUGACGGUGUAGCGGUGAAAUGCUUAGAUAUCGUCAAGAACACCGAUAGCGAAGGCAGCUUACCAAGCAGUAACUGACGCUGAGGCACGAAAGUGCGGGGAUCAAACAGG
rnacentral:rRNA from 1 species